rnacentral:rRNA from 1 species
GUUUACGGCCAUACCAGCCUGGGUACGCCCGAUCUCGUCUGAUCUCGGAAGCUAAGCAGGGUCGGGCCUGGUUAGUACCUGGAUGGGAGACCGCCUGGGAAUACCAGGUGCUGUAAGCU